UGACGAGUUUGAUCCUGGCUCAGAUUGAACGCUGGCGGCAUGCCUUACACAUGCAAGUCGAACGGUAACGCGGGGCAACCUGGCGACGAGUGGCGAACGGGUGAGUAAUAUAUCGGAACGUGCCCAGUAGUGGGGGAUAGCCCGGCGAAAGCCGGAUUAAUACCGCAUGAGACCUGAGGGUGAAAGCGGGGGAUCGCAAGACCUCGCGCUAUUGGAGCGGCCGAUAUCAGAUUAGGUAGUUGGUGGGGUAAAAGCCUACCAAGCCGACGAUCUGUAGCUGGUCUGAGAGGACGACCAGCCACACUGGGGACUGAGACACGGCCCAGACUCCUACGGGGAGGCAGCAGUGGGGAAUUUUGGACAAUGGGCGCAAGCCUGAUCCAGCCCAUGCCGCGUGCGGG
rnacentral:rRNA from 1 species